ensembl:lincRNA
CACAGGAGGCCUUGAAUACCCAGAUCAGGAUCACACAGACACCCAGUGCCACUAAUGGUCUUCCAUAUACCUCUCUCCUCAGGCAGGGAUGCCUGACCCCACCCGGAGCUGACCUCAGAGCUGUGAUCCUGGCAGAGGGCUUUGGCGGGAAUGGGGACCUAAGCUUGAGGUUCCCUCCACCUCUCCUCGGCAGCCAUGGACUGUGAGUCCAUCCCGGAGAAAUCAGUCCUGGUUGGUGAUGCCCAGCGGCCACCGAGGCCUCAUUGCAAACUGUGUUGCUGCUGUCUACUUCCUGCCCGGCAUGGGGGUGAAGGACCAACCUACAGCCAGCCAUGACUCGUCCUCCCCACCUCGCUCUCAGAGCAGAAGAGACCCAGCCCCUGACUCGUUUUGCCAGCGAAGAAACAGUUGCCCAGGAGAGGUGGCGGUGUGCCUCUGUCUCACAGCUCCCACUGAGUCACUUGUCCAACGUGAGGUCGUUUCCUCUCCUUCCCCCGCUGCAGAGAACACAUAGGUUUGCUGUGGGACCGGUGGCGCUGCAGGGCUGGAGAGCCAGGAUCAGGAGGUAUUCUGAUGUCUCUGCCUUUCACUCCUGUUCUGGCUGCCUUUCUCCCAGGGGCCUCUCCUACCCUCCUCCCCCACUGACCUCAAGAAUAAGCCCAACAGUAAGCCUGGCACUAAUCGGGACGCUCCUCCUUGCUGUGGGGGCAGGGAAGGGGACAGGAGACCAGUCUCAGUCCCAGAUGGCUGAGCCUCAGGACACUCCACUGAGGCCUCCUCCCCAAUCUGCAAAGCUCUUCGCCUCCCGGGGGAGCACUAGUGGGUCCUGAACAACAAGCCCAUGUGGCUUGGAAGCAGAGGAUCCUGGUACUGGGAAGCCAGAUGCCUGACUUAUUGCCAAGGCUCUGCAGUGCUUCACCGUGAGACCCGAAACAGAACUGGCCACUCCCUGUGCCUCAGUUUCCUAUCUGGAACCUAGAGGAGGAAUGAGAUCAUCUCUAAGCACGCCUUCUAGUUACAGCAUUCUGUGAUCCAUACCUGUGACCUCUGGGACUCCUCAGGAAGUCUCAAGCAUCGGAGAGUGCUGGGGGAGGGAUCACCCUAACUCCAAGGAGGCAGGGAAGCCCAGGGAGACCUGUAGCUACCCUGGGCUGGCAGGGGGCACUCAUCCUGCUGCAGCCUCCCAGGGAGGAGUCCAGGGUCGGGCAGGAGGCCGGAGGACAGAGGAGAGCUCCUCGGUAUGGCCUCAGGCAGCCCGAGGCCCUCCCCGAUGUCCACACAUACCCCAGAAGCUCACCCCCUCGAGUUUCACUUCCCAUUUCUGUUCCGAGGUUACACAGUCUUUGGUCUAGCCCAGAUCUCAGGCACAGCCCCAAGCCCCCAACACACACCCCCAGUUCCCACAGUUGUCCAGACCCGAUCCCAACUCCUCCUGCCAGGCCAGCCUUCCCACCACCUUCCCAGUUGCUCCCACAGGGAGGCCGGUGGGUGCAGUCCAGCUGCUUGUGCCAAUAGAGACUCCCCUGGCCCUGCAUGGCCAGAGCCUGAUAACAUUCUCCUAAAUUAAACAGUAAACAAGAAGUUGUUUUAGAUUUUCCUGACGCUGCAGUUCCUGAUUAAUCCUCACAGCAAACAAAAGAAAGAGAGAUAAUUAACCUAAAAGAGGGUCACUUCCUGUUUCCAGGUGGAAUCUCUAGCCUGAGCCAGAGGAACCUGUUCAGAGGGGUCCAGCUCCAGAUCACCUCUCCCCUCCCCCGCCUCUCCUGUGUCUGCCCAACCCCGGGCUACACCCUCAGCCUGCCUCCUAGAUCCCACCUAAGCAAGUUGGGAGCAGGCACUCCCGCCUGGGGUUUUCCUGGCUGUGCCUAUGGCUUGCUGGACAGGGGUGGGUGGGGUGGCCGAGGCCUCAGGGCCUUUGCAGAGGACCCUCCCCUCCUCUGCUAUGUGACCUUGGACAGGCCAAGUCACUUCAGAGGCCUCAGUCUGCUCAUCCGUCAGAUUCUUUAUCUCCCAAGGAUAAAAUGAAAAAAAAUUGAGACCACUUAAGAUUAGGCAGAAAUAUUUUAUCUUAUUUUUUAGAGAUCGAUGCUGAAAUAUUUAGGGGUAAAAGGGCUUGAUGUCUAUAAUUUAAAGUACUCUGGAA